CCUGACGUCACUUCCGGUUAAGGGUGGAAGCCCGAAAGGUCCCUUUGGAGCCCAUGGCGACCCCAAAAGCUCCCAUUGGAACCCAUAGAGACCCCGAAAGGUCCCUUUGGAGCCCACGGCGACCCCAGAACGGCUCUUUGGAGCCCAUGGAGACCCCAAAAGGGCCCUUUGGUACCCAUGGAGACCCCAAAAGCCCCUUUGGAGCCCAUGGAGACCCCACAAGAUCCCUUAGGAACCCAUGGAUACCCCAAAAGGUCCCAUUGGAGCCCGUGGGUCUCUAUGGGGCUCUAUUGGGCUCCGGGGGUCCCUAUGGGGUCUCUAUGGGGUCUCUAUGGGUCCCUAUGUGGUCUCUAUGGGGCUCUAUGGAUCCCUAUGGGGCUCUAUGGGGUCUGUGUGUCCCUAUGGGGUCUCUGUGGGGCUCUAUGGAUCCCUAUGGGUCCCUAUGGGUCCCUAUGGGGCUCUAUGGGUCUCUAUGGGUCUCUAUGGGUCCCUUUGGGGUCCCUAUGGGUCCCUAUGGGGUCUCUAUGGGUCUCUAUGUGUCCCCACGGGAUCUCUAUGGGGCUCUAUGGAUCCCUAUGGGUCCCUAUGGGGUCUCUGUGUGUCCCUAUGGGGUCUCUGUGGGUCUCAGUGGGUCCCUAUGGGAUCUCUGUGUGUCUCUAUGGGGUCUGUAUGGGUCUCUAUGGGUCCCUGUUGGGUCACUCUGGGUCUCUAUGGGUCCCUAUGGGGUCUCUAUGGGUCACAGUGUGUCCCUAUGGGGCACCGUGUCGCCCCACAGAUCCCACCGUGUCCCCAUACGGCCCCGCGGAGCUGUGGGGCACUGAACCGUUCCCAAUAGGGGGGAGGAGCUCCCACUCCCCCCUCCCCCCUCUGCCCUAUAUCAGUUGUGGGGCAGAGCUGUGGGGCAGAGCUGUGGGGCAGCCCCACAAUGGCCGUCACCGUCGAUCCCUGGGAUUUGGGGGUCGUUGGGGGGUAUUUCCUGUGCGUCUUCGCUGUGGGGCUGUGGGUAAGGAGUGGGGUGGGACCCAGAAGUGUGGGGUGGGACCCAUAAGUUGGGGGUUGGGACCCAUAAGUGUGGGGUGGG
rnacentral:lncRNA from 1 species